GAUGAACGCUAGCUACAGGCUUAACACAUGCAAGUCGAGGGACCGGCGCACGGGUGAGUAACACGUAUCCAACCUGCCCUUUACUCGGGGAUAGCCUUUCGAAAGAAAGAUUAAUACCCGAUAUAAAGGAUGGGGAUGCGUUCCAUUAGGUUGUUGGUGAGGUAACGGCUCACCAAGCCUUCGAUGGAUAGGGGUACUGAGAGGAAGGUCCCCCACAUUGGAACUGAGACACGAUCCAAACGCAUACGGGAGGCAGCAGUGAGGAAUAUUGUGCAAUGGGCGCUAGCAUGAACCAACCAGGUAGCGUGAAGGAUGAUGGAUUAUGGGUCGUAAGCUUCUUUUAUAUAAGAAUAUGUAUUAUAUGAAUAGGGAUCGGCUAACUCCGUGCCAGCCGCCGCGGUAAUUC
rnacentral:rRNA from 1 species